AGUUUAGGCCAAGCGUGGAUGCGCUGAAGCCACAGCUGGACAACUACAUUGGCGUCUGCCAGGAGAUUCUCACCAAUCGCAGCCUCAAGGAGUUCCUCAAGCUCAUUCUCAUCACCGGAAACUUCAUCAACUCGGGCAGCUACGCGGGAAAUGCAUUCGGUUUCCGGCUGAAUACCCUUCCAAAGCUGCUCGAUAUACGCUCUAACAAGCCACGCAUGACACUUCUUCAUUUCCUAGUCGAAAUCGCUGAAAAGGAGCAAGCGGAAACGCUGUCUUUCACCAAGGAUCUCCUACAUCUGACGGAGUGUUCCAGGCUGUCACUGGACGGCAUGCGGACAGAACUGAAACAGCUGUCUACAGGCAUUGAGAAGCUCGAGAGGCAUCUUCCACAAGGCGACGAUGAGUUCAAGCAGCACUUUGGUGCCUUCGUCACAG